AAACUACUCCCUCCGUCCGAAAAUACUUGUCGGAGGAAUGGAUGUAUCUAGACACAAUUUAGUUUUAGAUACACUCAUUUUCAUCCAUUUCUCCGACAAGUAUUUUCGGACGGAGGGAGUACUAG
rnacentral:pre_miRNA from 1 species